AUUGAACGCUGGCGGAAUGCUUUACACAUGCAAGUCGAACGGCAGCACGGGUGCUUGCACCUGGUGGCGAGUGGCGAACGGGUGAGUAAUGCACCGGAACGUAUCCAAUAAUGGGGGAUAACGCACCGAAAGGUGUGCUAAUACCGCAUACGCCCUGAGGGGGAAAGCGGGGGAUCGUAAGACCUCGCGUUAAUGGAGCGGCCGAUGCCGGAUUAGCUAGUUGGUGAGGUAAAGGCUCACCAAGGCGACGAUCCGUAGCGGGUCUGAGAGGAUGAUCCGCCACACUGGAACUGAGACACGGUCCAGACUCCUACGGGAGGCAGCAGUGGGGAAUUUUGGACAAUGGGGGGCAACCCUGAUCCAGCCAUGCCGCGUGAGUGAAGAAGGCCU
rnacentral:rRNA from 1 species